rnacentral:lncRNA from 1 species
AAAUUCUCUUAGUAGAAAGUAUGCUUUAAUUCUUCGGAACUCCAAAUAAAUAUAUCUGCACAUACAAAAACCAGUUCUAUUUAUUAUAUCACAUAUUAAAGUUUUGAUAAACCAAAUUAGAAAUCUAAACUUUUUAUCAUCAUCAUAAACAAUUAUCUAACCUUCUAUAGGGUGGGAACACGAUCUAGCCUUUCUCCUUUUUUUCACCUCUUUUUAGCUUUACUAUUAUAUGGUCUUUGGACACUACAUGCAAUAUUCAAUGCUUCAAUUCCCACAACUCUCUAGCUCAUAAGUUGCACAAUGAACUAGCUUUCUAUUUUUGAUUUUGUUAUUUUUAGUUUCUUCAAACAGUUUACAAUGAAUUAGUUAGUUGGCCUACUCUAAUCUACUACAUAUUAUUCCACCUCCUAUGGUCAGAUAAAGUCACAAGAUUACACUUUUGUCUUUGUUAGGGACCAAAAUUAAUCUAGUUUCCUUGGCUUCCACUUAAUUUCAUGCAUGCCCAUCAUCAAUGAACGGAUCCAUUUGUCCCCUUCUUGAGCAAAUAGAAAAAAACUAAUCAUUACUUUGUGUGUAUACGAGUUGUUUUUAUCUUUGCUUUGUCUUCUUAUACUCAGAGACUAGAGAUAGCCUCAUAGUUAUUAUUUUCUUUUAAUCUGUGAGUGGAGUAGAUUCUCUUACCUCCUCCUAAAGCAAGAAAAAAAUUAAUUAUUAUACUUUUGUGAUAUACAGUUUGUCUCCAUCCAAAAGCUAUAUACCAUGCAUAAUGAAGAGCACUUGAAUUUUACUUUAAGAUACCUAUUACUAAAAGACUAGCUAGAAGAGAGAGAGAGAGAGAGAAUUAAAAGAAGGUUAGGUUCCCUUUCAUAUAUAAGAAAAUGAAAAGAUGAAAAAAAGGUUAGGUUCCCUGCCAUAAAAAGCUUCACUUUGUUUCACUUUGUUCUCCAACUUUUAUAUUUUAUUCGAAUAAUCGAAUUUUUACAAUUCUUUAUUUUCAGUCCUUUGGUCUCUUAAUUAGGGGAGGUUUAUUUCAUAGAAAAGAGGGGGAUACAUUGUUUUCGACUAUAAAUAUUUAUUUUUGCUGCCUGGUUUGUUAUAAAUAACUUUGUUCAUAAUUUUACUUGUCCAAAAUAGCCAUAACUGACUUUAUCCUGGAUGGUGCCGAAGUCAAUUAUGGAAGAGAAGAUAAUAAUAGCAAAUUUACUAAUGUAAAUUUUUGUUACCUUCUUUUAUGAUAGUAUAGAAACUUUCAAUAAAAUAAACAAAAAAAGAAAUAAUUAACUACAGCCCCAAAAUCAUUGACUUUCUAUAAACAAGUAAUGUUGAAAAAAUAUUUUCCCCCCUCCCCCCCCCCCACCUUUAGUUCAAUUGAACAUCAUUUUCAGCCUGAAAAUUAUUAUGGAUGAACAAAUAGAUCUUAUUGUUAGAAGAUAAUUUAUUAGCUAGACCCAGUGCAUCCGUGCAUUACGCACUACAAAUGCAUCAAUUUAUCUCCAACUUUCAAUCCGAUCAUAGAAAAGAUAUAAACCCACUCAAAAGUAGGGUGGAGACUGAAGUGUUAAUUGUCAGAAGGGGGGCAUUGGAUUCAUAUAUAGUGGUACAAAUGCAGAGAUCCUAUAAGAAGUUCCUUCACUAAUAGUAAAUUUGGCAAAAGAUUAAAAUCAAAUUUCUUCAAAACUUCAGUGUUGAAUAUCCAACUUACCAGUCUGUUUGGCAUCAAAUUUAAAUAAAAUUCAGUGGAGUUCAGUUGAGACAAAAUUUAGAGAUAAAGUAAUUUGUCUGGGUUUAAACGAAGUUCAACUAGUUGUAUUCCGCUUUAUUUUUUGGUAAAAGAUGAAAAAUUAGUUCAAUUUAAUUAUUUUUUCCAUUCUAUCCUCAGAUGAAUAGUAAGGAAGAUUUUCUUUUUUUUUUA